rnacentral:rRNA from 1 species
CUUGGUCAUUUAGAGGAAGUAAAAGUCGUAACAAGGUUUCCGUAGGUGAACCUGCGGAAGGAUCAUUACAGAGUUCCUGCCCUCACGGGUAGAAACCCCACCCUUGUGUAUUAUAUAUUGUUGCUUUGGCGGGCCGCCCUCACGGGCACCGGCUCACGCUGGCUCGCGCCCGCCGAAGGACCCCAAACUCUGAAGUAUAGUGUCGUCUGAGUACUAUUUAAUAGUUAAAACUUUCAACAACGGAUCUCUUGGUUCUGGCAUCGAUGAAGAACGCAGCGAAAUGCGAUAAGUAAUGUGAAUUGCAGAAUUCAGUGAAUCAUCGAAUCUUUGAACGCACAUUGCGCCCGCCAGUAUUCUGGCGGGCAUGCCUGUUCGAGCGUCAUUUCAACCCUCAAGCCCCCGGGCUUGGUGUUGGAGAUCGGCGUGCCCCCCGGGGCGCGCCGGCUCCCAAAUAUAGUGGCGGUCUCGCUGUAGCUUCCUCUGCGUAGUAGCACACCUCGCACUGGAAAACAGCGUGGCCACGCCGUUAAACCCCCCACUUCUGAAAGGUUGACCUCGGAUCAGGUAGGAAUACCCGCUUUACUUAAGCAUAUCAAUAAGCGGAGGA